UCUAGAAGUGAGAAUGCCGGUAUGAGUAACGAAAGACAGGUGAGAAUCCUGUCCGCCGCAAGACUAAGGUUUCCUGGGGCAGGCUCGUCCGCCCAGGGUAAGUCGGGACCUAAGGCGAGGCCGAGAGGCGUAGUCGAUGGACAACAGGUUGAAAUUCCUGUACUGCACCGAAUCGUUAUGAGCGAUGGAGGGACGCAGGAGGCUAGCAGCGCGUGGUGCUGGAUACCACGUUCAAGCGUCAAGUCUGAGAGUGAGUCAAAUGCUUGCUCUCAUAAGGACAAGGCGUGAUGAGGAGCGAAAUUAAAGUAGCGAAGGCUGCGACGUCACACUGCCGAGAAAAGCUUCUAGCCAGAGACGGUGCACCCGUACCGCAAACCGACACAGGUAGUCGAGGAGAGUAUCCUCAGGUGAGCGAGAGAACUCUCGUUAAGGAACUCGGCAAAAUGGCCCCGUAACUUCGGGAGAAGGGGCGCUGGUCGCAAGAUCAGCCGCAGUGAAAAGGCCCAAGCAACUGUUUAUCAAAAACACAGGCAUCUGCAAAAUCGUAAGAUGAAGUAUAGGUGCUGACACCUGCCCGGUGCUGGAAGGUUAAGAGGAGAGCUUAGCGCAAGCGAAGGUUUGAAUUGAAGCCCCAGUAAACGGCGGCCGUAACUAUAACGGUCCUAAGGUAGCGAAAUUCCUUGUCGGGUAAGUUCCGACCUGCACGAAAGGUGUAAUGAUUUGGGCACUGUCUCAACGAGAGACUCGGUGAAAUUAUAAUACCCGUGAAGAUGCGGGUUACCCGCGACAGGACGGAAAGACCCCAUGGAGCUUUACUGCAGUUUAAUAUUGGGUAUCUGUCAAGCAUGUACAGGAUAGGUAGGAGCCGGAGAAGAUAGGACGCCAGUCUUAUCUGAGGCGCUGUUGGGAUACUACCCUUGCUUGACGGAUGCUCUAACUCAGGCCUGUGAUCCAGGCCGAGGACAGUGUUUGACGGGCAGUUUGACUGGGGCGGUCGCCUCCUAAAGUGUAACGGAGGCGCCCAAAGGUUCCCUCAGAAUGGUUGGAAAUCAUUCGCAGAGUGUAAAGGUAAAAGGGAGCUUGACUGCGAGAGAGACAACUCGAGCAGGUACGAAAGUAGGGCUUAGUGAUCUGGUGGUACCGUAUGGAAGGGCCAUCACUCAACGGAUAAAAGCUACCCUGGGGAUAACAGGCUUAUCUCCCCCAAGAGUUCACAUCGACGGGGAGGUUUGGCACCUCGAUGUCGGCUCGUCGCAUCCUGGGGCUGAAGUCGGUCCCAAGGGUUGGGCUGUUCGCCCAUUAAAGCGGCACGCGAGCUGGGUUCAGAACGUCGUGAGACAGUUCGGUCCCUAUCCGUCGUGGGCGUAGGAAAUUUGAGAGGAGCUGUCCUUAGUACGAGAGGACCGGGAUGGACGCACCGCUGGUGUACCAGUUGUCUUGCCAAAGGCAUCGCUGGGUAGCUAUGUGCGGACGGGAUAAGCGCUGAAAGCAUCUAAGUGCGAAGCCCCCCUCAAGAUGAGAUUUCCCAUUUCUUCAAGAAAGUAAGACACCUCAGAGACGAUGAGGUAGAUAGGCCGGGAGUGGAAGAGCCGUGAGGCUUGGAGCGGACCGGUACUAAUCAGUCGAGGACUUGACCAAAA
rnacentral:rRNA from 1 species